rnacentral:rRNA from 2 species
UGGUGCCUUCGGGAACUGUGAGACAGGUGCUGCAUGGCUGUCGUCAGCUCGUGUUGUGAAAUGUUGGGUUAAGUCCCGCAACGAGCGCAACCCUUAUCCUUUGUUGCCAGCGAUUAGGUCGGGAACUCAAAGGAGACUGCCAGUGAUAAACUGGAGGAAGGUGGGGAUGACGUCAAGUCAUCAUGGCCCUUACGACCAGGGCUACACACGUGCUACAAUGGCGCAUACAAAGAGAAGCGACCUCGCGAGAGCAAGCGGACCUCAUAAAGUGCGUCGUAGUCCGGAUUGGAGUCUGCAACUCGACUCCAUGAAGUCGGAAUCGCUAGUAAUCGUGGAUCAGAAUGCCACGGUGAAUACGUUCCCGGGCCUUGUACACACCGCCCGUCACACCAUGGGAGUGGGUUGCAAAAGAAGUAGGUAGCUUAACCUUCGGGAGGGCGCUUACCACUUUGUGAUUCAUGACUGGGGUGAAGUCGUAACAAGGUAACCGUAGGGGAACCUGC